GUGUCAGCAGCCGCGGUAAUACGUAGGUGACAAGCGUUAUCCGGAAUUACUGGGCGUAAAGCGCACGCAGGCGGCGCAGUAAGUCUGAUGUGAAAUCUCCCGGCUUAACUGGGAGGGGUCAUUGGAAACUGCAGUGCUUGAGGCGGUGAGAGGGGUGUAGAAUUCCCGGUGUAGUGGUGGAAUGCGUAGAUAUCGGGAGGAAUACCAGUGGCGAAAGCGGCACCCUGGCACUAGCCUGACGCUCAUGUGCGAAGGCGUGGGGAGCGAACGGGAUUAGAUACCCCGGUAGUCCACGCGGUAAACGAUGAAUACUAGGUGUAGGAGGAGUGAAAUCCUUCUGUGCCGAAGCAAACGCGCUAAGUAUUCCGCCUGGGGAGUACGGCCGCAAGGCUAAA
rnacentral:rRNA from 1 species